UAGUAUUGUGGUAGAGCGCAAGGCUCUUAACCUUGUGGUCGUGGGUUCGAGCCCCAC
rnacentral:tRNA from 1 species